AACAAUGGGUGUAUCCACGUUGUCCUCUUCUUUCUCCUGUAGAGUGUUCUGUACGCAGAGUAUGCGAUGAGAACAUCACUCAUUUCCUCACUCAUUUCCAUAACGACACUUCUUACUUCCUCAACUGCUGUCACUGCACUGCAAGCUGAAGUGGAACACGACGUCCCGUGUGAAGGUAGAUGCGUUUUUUCGACCCGCGUCGAAAACGACGCGCGUCGAAAAAACGCUAAAGUGUGAAGGCAGCCUUACUGAAGAAUAUGUACAGAAAGGACAGGAAAAGUGGUAAGACAGUUUUUUGCCUUUCAAGGGGCCUUACGUUAUCGUAAAGAUUUACGACAAUCAAGUUUGUACACUGAAGAAUGAAAAAGGUGAAGUUCUGAAGAUGAAGCAAAAUAUUGCUAACUUGAAGCCAUUCUUUGCUCCUCCCAAAGAUGAAAGUCUAGAGGAAGAAAAGGAAAAGGAAAAAGAGACAGCUGAAGAUGAUGUUAGUCAACAAGAUCGAACGAAAUACUCCCUACGCUUACAACCCUGUCACUGGCCAUUGGCAAAAUCAAAAGGCUGCUCAACUACAACUGACUGUUCAGAGCAUUCGUCGCCCACGAAAAAGAGGAUGUUUACUCACCAAGCCAGCAACACUUGAGAGGAUGAAUGGUGAUGGUAAUUGUUUCUUUCGGGCUAUCUCGUUUGCUAUUACUGGGGCGGAGUCAUCGCACAUCACAAUUAGGAAGGCUAUUGUUAACCAUAUGACGGCAAAAACAGAAGAGUUAAAAAGCCAUGUGCAACACGUUGAAGAACAUCUGGGCAAGAUGACAACGACCAGUGAAUGGGCAACAGAUGCUGAGCUAUUUGCAGCGGAUUCACUACUUCAAACAGACAUAAUGCUGUGGUUGCAGAGAGGAGAUUGGGCCCUGUUUGGACGAAAUGUCUUGGAAAAGUCAUGUAGUCUCAGCGAUUCGGACCUUUGUGAUAAACGUGUUAUUUACCUGCAAAAUACCAACAGUAACCAUUUUGAUUAUGCCAAAGGAAUUAUGUAGAUGCAGAUCGUAAAUAUAAAUGGAUGUUAUUGAUCAUCUGCAGAGGGACAAAUAUACAAUCUGAGGUAA